GAUGAACGCUGGCGGCGUGCCUAAUACAUGCAAGUCGAGCGAACGGACGAGAAGCUUGCUUUUCUGAUGUUAGCGGCGGACGGGUGAGUAACACGUGGAUAACCUACCUAUAAGACUGGGAUAACUUCGGGAAACCGGAGCUAAUACCGGAUAAUAUUUCGAACUGCAGGGUUCAAAAGUGAAAGACGGUCUUGCUGUCACUUAUAGAUGGAUCCGCGCUGCAUUAGCUAGUUGGUAAGGUAACGCCUUACCAAGGCAACGAUGCAUAGCCGACCUGAGAGGGUGAUCGGCCACACUGGAACUGAGACACGGUCCAGACUCCUACGGGAGGCAGCAGUAGGGAAUCUUCCGCAAUGGGCGAAAGCCUGACGGAGCAACGCCGCGUGAGUGAUGAAGGUCUUCGGAUCGUAAAACUCUGUUAUUAGGGAAGAACAUAUGUGUAAGUAACUGUGCACAUCUUGACGGUACCUAAUCAGAAAGCCCCGGCUAACUACGUG
rnacentral:rRNA from 1 species